rnacentral:rRNA from 1 species
UUUUCCCUACGGGACGCAGCAGUGGGGAAUAUUGGGCAAUGGGCGCAAGCCUGACCCAGCAACGCCGCGUGAAGGAAGAAGGCUUUCGGGUUGUAAACUUCUUUUCUCAGGGACGAAUAGAUGACGGUACCUGAGGAAUAAGCCACGGCUAACUACGUGCCAGCAGCCGCGGUAAUACGGAGGAUGCGAGCGUUAUCCGGAUUUAUUGGGUUUAAAGGGUGCGCGGGCGGUCUGUUAAGUCAGCGGUCAAAGCCCGGGGCUCAACCCCGGCCCGCCGUUGAAACUGGCGUUCUUGAGUGGGCGAG